rnacentral:tRNA from 1 species
GUUUCUGUGGUGUAUAAAGCACAAAAGGUUGUGGUUCUUUAGGAAGGCGGAAGUCUCAGAGGCC